rnacentral:piRNA from 1 species
UAACAUUAUUUUAAAAUAGUU